rnacentral:rRNA from 1 species
GCACAAGGAGCAAUCUGGAGGUGGCGACCGGCGCACGGGUGAGUAACACGUAUGCAACCUGCCUGUAAGCGGGGAAUAACCCGUUGAAAGACGGACUAAUACCGCAUAAUACUAAAUUACUGCAUGGUAAUUUAUUUAAACAUUUUAUGGCUUACAGAUGGGCAUGCGCAUGAUUAGCUAGUUGGAGAGGUAACGGCUCCCCAAGGCAACGAUCAUUAGGGGUUCUGAGAGGAAGGUCCCCCACACUGGUACUGAGACACGGACCAGACUCCUACGGGAGGCAGCAGUGAGGAAUAUUGGUCAAUGGACGAGAGUCUGAACCAGCCAAGUCGCGUGCAGGAAGAAUGUCCUAAUGGAUUGUAAACUGCUUUUGCAGGGGAAUAAAGUGCAUCACGUGUGAUGUUUUGUAUGUACUCUGCGAAUAAGGAUCGGCUAACUCCGUGCCAGCAGCAGC